GACGAACGCUGGCGGCGUGCCUAAUACAUGCAAGUAGAACGAGUUGCGAACGGGUGAGUAACGCGUGGUAACCUGCCUCAUAGCGGGGGAUAACUAUUGGAAACGAUAGCUAAUACCGCAUACUGUGAGAUGGACCUGCGUUGUAUUAGCUAGUUGGUGGGGUAACGGCUCACCAAGGCGACGAUCCCUAGCUGGUCUGAGAGGAGGACCAGCCAUACUGGAACGGAGACACGGUCAAGACUCCUACGGGAGGCAGCAGGGGGGAAUAUUGCACAAUGGGCGCAAGGCUGAUGCAGGCGUGGCGCGGGUAUGAAGAAGGCCUUCGGGUUGGAAAGUACUUGGAGCGGGGAGUCGUUACCCGCAGAAGAAGCACCGGCUAACUCCGUGCCAGCAGCCGCGGUAAUUC
rnacentral:rRNA from 1 species